rnacentral:rRNA from 1 species
GCCUACGGGGCGCAGCAGUGAGGAAUAUUGGUCAAUGGGCGAGAGCCUGAACCAGCCAAGUCGCGUGAGGGAAGACGGUCCUAUGGAUUGUAAACCUCUUUUGCCGGGGAGCAAAAAGCGGUACGUGUACCGCAUCGAGAGUACCCGGAGAAAAAGCAUCGGCUAACUCCGUGCCAGCAGCCGCGGUAAUACGGAGGAUCCGAGCAUUAUCCGGAGUGACUGGGUGUAAAGAGUUGCGUAGGUGGCAUAGUAAGUAGCUAGUGAAAUCUGGUGGCUCAACCAUUCAGACUAUUAGCUAAACUGCU